rnacentral:rRNA from 1 species
UACGUAGGGGGCAAGCGUUAUCCGGAUUUACUGGGUGUAAAGGGAGCGUAGACGGCAGUGCAAGUCUGGAGUGAAAGGCGGGGGCUCAACCCCCGGACUGCUCUGGAAACUGUUCAACUUGAGUGCAGAAGGGGAGAGUGGAAUUCCAUGUGUAGCGGUGGAAUGCGUAGAUAUAUGGAGGAACACCGGUGGCGAAAGCGGCUCUCUGGUCUGUAACUGACGCUGAGGCUCGAAAGCGUGGGUAGCGAACAGG